CAUGAAUUCACUCAUGCAGUUCCCUAGGAGGGUUGAAAUAGUAUUAUUUUAAUGUUUAUUCAUUUUUGAGAGAUGGAGAGAGACAGAGCAUGGGCAAGGGAGACACAGAAUCUGAAGCAGGCUCCAGGUUCUGAGCUGUCAGCACAGAGCCCGAUGCAGGGCUUGAACCUAUGGACCAUGGGAUCGUAACCUGAGCUGAAGUUGGAUGCUUAACCAACUGAGCCACCCAGGCACCCCUGAAAUAAUAUUAUUUUAAUUAUCUAAGGCAAAACCUGUAAAAUACCAAGACCUCCCAAGCAUUUUUUCUGUGCACUGCCAAGAAGAUAGGAGAAUAUGAUACAUUUUUAGGAUUACUAAAGAAUACAGAGGCGGGAGGAACCCACAAAACAUUCAUUAAUGUGGAACCCUUGGUAGGCAAAACUCUACUUGAUGGCCAUGUGGAUUGUCAGAGGUCUUAAGUUCCAUUGCCUGAAACAAAUGAUGUUGAAUCUAAAGAAAAUCAUAGCCAGAUGAUUUUAAUAAUAAUUAAAAUGAAAGUAAUAAUAAAGAAUAGAUGUACUCUGUCAUCUAGGCUUAUAAGCCCCAUAUUAAAAUGAUCUUUUUUCCCACAUCUUAUCUAAUCCUCCUCCAAAUAGCCCCACAGUAGUACAUGGUAUCACCAUAUUUCUGAUUCCCAAUCCAGAAAACUGAGAUGGAGAGUGUGUGUGUGUGUGUGUGUGUGUGUGUGUUGAUGGAAGGGUCAUAUAAUGGAAAGAACGCUGGACUUGGAGUCUAUUAUCAAAUGAUAAUCCAUGUGAAAGGAUCUUAGUAUCUGUAAAAAACAGUCCAUAAAUGCUAUAUAGUCUAACAAAUACUAUCUUCUGUAGCUGAAUCUACCAUCUUAUUUUCCACUUUCCAAAAUGCCUCUGAGAUUCAUUCUUUUCUUUCUAUUUCCAUUGAUAUUCUCUUUAUAGAAUCCUAAAAUUUUUAAAUUGGAAAGGAUCACUACUUCUACUCAGUACAGAAGAAUAUUCUAUGUCAUUCCUGGCAUUACUUCUUGGGUCUGCCUGCAUGCCUCCUGUGAAUGGAAGCUUUCUACUCAACAAAGCAGUCUACCAUAUUAUUGAAAAGCUCUGGGUGUUAGAAAGUUCUCUCAUAUUAAAUGGAAAUUUGCUUUAAUAUAAGUAUGUUGGUUUUGUGCUUUCUGGAGUCAAAAAAUUUGACAAAAAAAAUCACCAUGUGCCUACUAUUUCAAUCAUGUUUCUAUUGAAAUAAACCUCUUUAUUGGAACAGCAACAUAUUUAGAGCAAGAAUUAAAGAAAUACAACACCUGAGCAAGUGUCUUUCUAUCCAUUCACCCAUCUACCCAUCCAUCUGUCCAUUCUCCACCCCAUCUGUCUACCGAUCCAUCCAUCCCACAGAUGUAAUUGAACACUCUGCUAAGUUCUGUGAUUCAGUAAGAAAUAGCCCCUUUAAAGUUACUUUCAUAGUCCCUUCUGUGACAGUGCUGAGAGUGAAAAUCAUGAGCAGAGCAGAGAGCUAUGACAUUGGCAACCCUUGCAAAGCUGGACAUUGGCAUGAUAAGUUCCUUACAUGUGAAGUAUAAUCAAGUGCCAAAAUAUUUCUGUCAUUGACUAGGCAGUCAUUUUUAUCCUGCCUAGGAAACAAAAUUCUGCUGCAGGCACACGUAGAAAAGGUAAGACCCGAAUCAUAGCUCUACUCAUUAUUCCAUGAAGCAGAAAUAGAGGAAAAGAAGCAACUGUAAGCAUAAAGUGUCUAUAUUUUAAAAGCAGGUCUGCUCAUGACUUAAGUGUGCUGUCACACUCCUCAAUCUAGUAUGUGUCCUCAGAGUCACCUUCAUGGCUUAAUUUUAAGAAGAGAGCAAUACAGAAUUCAGCUUUGAUCUGAAUAUGAAUUUAGGUAGCAAUGACUUUGGUAAUGACAUUUCUAUAUCAUUUUCUAUAUUUCAAAGGGCAGGGGGAGGGUAGACCUUGCCUCUGAUUAAUGCUGAAUCCAGUUGACUAAAGUACAUUAAGAUGACUGGAGGCAAUAUUUCUACAGAAAUAAUUCUUCACUUCUCCUAUAAAGUCACAUCAAAGUAGCAAAGAUUUUGAUAAUAUUGCUAAAGCAAUAGUUUUAAUAUAUCUGGAAAAAAUAAUUUCUAACUUGGGGUUCUGUAUUUUUUCCAACUAAAUCAGGCAACCAUACCUUUCUGUUAUCUAUCCUGGCCAAAUGUACUUGAGAGACUUUUAAAAAAUUAUAAGAGGCAUUUCACAAGGUCAUUUGUUUCAGGCAGGCUGAACUACAAGCUCAAGUCUAGGAGUGCCUGGAGAGCUGUAGCACAACAGCAAACUUGUCUAAGUUAGACAGUUCUAUUAUCCUUCUCUCUGGGUAGGGAGGUAAGCCACAGGCCAGUGUUUCUCAACAUGUGGCCUGUAGACCUUCCGCAUCAGAAGGUCUUGCUGCCUUGCUAAUUCAAAAUGCAGAUUCUGAGGUUCUACCUCAGAACCAACUAAUUAUACUCUCCAAGAGUGGGUGCUGAGGAUACAUUUUUUUAAGAGUCAUUCUAAGUGAUUUUUAUCUCCCUAAUAUUCUCAAAGUGUGGUUCCUGGAACAGCAGCAUGAGCAUCACAUGGGGACCUGUUACAAAGGCAAAUUCUCAGGCCCCACCCUGGACCUUGUUAAAACAGAAAUUCUGAAGGUGGGGCCCAAGAAUCUGUUUUAACAAGCCUUCCAGGUGACACUGACAUAUAUGAAAAAUUGAAAACUACCAUAUCAGGUACAUAGAGGUACAUAGCAGCCUCAAAACAAGAACUCUGUGAAAUAGUGAAUUAUCAAGGGCUAGCAUGUGAGGUACAGGCUAAGCUAAAGCAGUUCUCCUGGACAGCAGGUCUUCUAGGGGAUUGAUUUCCAGAACAGUCAGGGCCCAUGAUGGGCUUGAUACUCUUCAGAAAAGAUGAUAGUUUAUUUUGACUCUAUUGACAAAGUAGUAUCUUUGUGGUGGUAACUGAUUGUAUCCUUUUCUCCACCAUAAUGAUGUCACCUGAAAAAUGUGGUGCUGGAAUUAGACCAUAAAAUGGCUUUCUUCCAUCCUUAGGGCCCUACUUCUCCACCUUUUAUAAAUGCCUAAAUUACCCAUUCAGUGCACUGUUAUAUCUUGUUGAGCUGGGGCACCUGGGAGCUGGUACAUAUAGGGAGGAACCUUAUAUAGACAGAAAGCCCUGAGGUUGACUAAGGAAAGGGAUUUAUUUUUAAGAAUGUUCCAGCUGUGGAGUGCCUGGAUGGCUGUCGUUCAGGCACCUGAUUCUUGACUUCGACUCAGGUCAUGAUCUCAUGGUUUGUGGGUUAGAGCUCCAUAUAGGGCUCUGUUCUGAGGGCGCAGAGCCUGUUUGGGAUUCACUCUCUCUGUGUUCGUUCCUCCCCCACUUGCUCUCUCUCUCUCAAAAAUAAAUAAACUUGAAAAAAAAAAGAAUAUUCUAGCUGAAAUGUACCUCAGAGUCUUUUCAGAAUUCUAUGUACAGAAAUGCAAUCUCCAAGAAGUGGAAUUGUACAUUGACCUUUAGGUUGGAUUUACAGCUAGCUAUUGCACAACUAAAAAUGCCAACUUCAUUAAAUAUAGCCAUGAAAUACCUUAUUCAUUCUUGGUGAUGCAUUUACUAAUUAAGUAAAUGUUUAUUAGAUGCAUAUUGUAUGUUGGGCACUGGGCUAGGCACAUCAGUUACUGGUAACGAGUGUAUGUGUGCUCUGGCACACAUUUAAUUCAAUUAAACCCUGACUCGACCACUUAACUAGAUGUGGGGCCUUGAGCAAGUUACUCAAUCUUCCCAAAUUACUUAAUCUUUAUGCCUCAAUUUCACCUUCUGAAAAAAAGGGAAUAAUGAUAUUACCUCCCUCUUACAACUGUUUUGAGGAUUAAGUGGGUUAAUUCUUAUAAGGAACGUAUAGCCAUGGAAAAUGGUUAAUAAUUGUUAGCUGCUAGUAAUAAUAUUAAUAAAAUAAAAAUAAUAGAUUUAGUAAGUUCUGUUCUAGGUAACUAAUACUCCACAGAAACUGCUUCUAGAAUGGAGUCCAUUCCCUAGUGUGAACGGCAGUCUGUUUCAUCCCACCAAAAUAAUUGGAGAAGGCACAUUUCCUGGCUCUCGAACCAGACUUAGAUCAAGAGCUUUCCAAAAACAACAAAGUUACCAACCACAUCCCACCAUUCUCUCUCCCCUAAAAAGAAGGGUCUGACAUGUAAAGAAACGUCUUGCUUCACACUUUAUCAGCCUUUCUGCCUCUUCUCAGGGCCAGGGAAACUGGGCUGUAGGCAUUAAUUACUUCCUUCUCAGAGUCAACACAUCACUGCCAUCUCCAUCUGUGGUGUUUCAGCCGCUACAAGUCUGAGGAGCAGCACUGGGUCUCAGGAGGCAGGAUCCUGAAAGCCAGCCAGAGCAUGGUGUCUGGAAACUCUUUGGUGGUAUUCCCAAUGGGUAAUAAGGUUCACCGCUUUGCUAUCUCUUUGGUUUCCAAUGUGGCUUGGGAAAAGAGAGACUUACUGUGGUAAUAAGGAGGCCUGAAGGUCUUAUCGGCAACCCCCCAUCGAGGUGGGAAGAUGACAAAAUCAGCGACAGCCACCCCAGGGCGGACAGACUUGGCGGUCAAUACUGUGAAGAUGGAUGGGUCCUGUGAAAGCACAAGGAGACACUGAGCCCACGAUGGAAAGGAGGUGGCUGGACGGUGGCACAUGUGUCCCCACACGGGAAGGGGUUUCCAAGUUGAUGCUCUAAAUUCUGAUCAAACCACACAGGCCAGGCUAAGUGUUCUGGGCUUAUCGAUGAGGUGCAGUAAUCACUCAUCUGACUUUCCCCUCUUGCUGUGCACGAAGCAAAAUGAAUUAAUACCAGCUAAGAAGACUUGGAACUGCUUUCUCGUCCUGCUGAGCCCCCAUUUCAUGCAAAUAUUACCAUGCGGGUCUGAGAACCAGUCGUGUCUGCCUCUCAACCUCAGGUCAGGGUGAAGAGCUGGGAUGUGCUUCAGGGAGUUCUUGGCAGAAUAGAUGCUCAGAGUGAGGUUGAAACAGCAAUAAAAUAGUAUCUAGCUUUUGGUAUAAAUGUAGAAUGUGCUUCUCUUUGGGGGCCUCACAGAGAUUCCAGAUGCCAUCCUCAUUGCUUUCUUACCCCUGUUUGAUUCUCAGUUCUAAAAUCCACCACUUACAUCACUAGUUUGGACGGUGGUAGUGUCGAGGGAAACAAUAUUGUGAUUUUAAAAGAACUUUAGAAUCUUUCAGUGGAAAGAUUGAGAUUCAAUUUAAUUGAAAUCAAUGAUCAUGUUUGCUUUCACAUGCCAUUCUAGGGUCUGGGAUUUAAAGAUGGUUGAGAUCUAUCUAUUCCUUGCCCCUUUAGCAUUACUAGUGGUGGUAGUGGUGGGGGGGGGUGCUGAAGGAGUCAUAAAACAGGUGCAUGAACAACUAAUCCUAGCAAGGUGCCAAGGAUAAUCUCACUUUAUAAGUAGAAACCCAAGGGAGUAUAGAGAGUGCCUGCCUACUGAGAGGAUCAGGGGAGGCUUCGAAGAGAAGGUGAUAUUUGAGGAAGGUCCUGAGGAAUGAAAGGAGAAAGAAAGAAAAACGAAGGAGGCAGGAAAGAGAGGAAAAGGCAUUUGAAGCAUAGAAAACAAGAAAUACAUCAAAGUGCACAGAGAUUUUGUCAAGAGGCAAGAAAGCAUUGCCAGGGUGCACUGGCAAAGGGAAGAGGGGCUAAGAGUUAAUACUGGAAAAAGGAGUCCAGGGCCAGAUGGUGGAGAACAUCAGAUACCAUGCUUCAGAGCUCAGAUGAUCCUAAACCACAGGGAGGCUGAAAAGGUUUUCUAAUGCAGUGGUAGAAUGACCAGACCUGAAUUUUGGCUUAUCGAUAAGGUGCAGUAAUCACUCAUCUGACUUUCCCCUCUUGCUGUGCAUGAAGCAAAAUGAAUUAACACCAGCUAAUUUUGGAAAAAAUCAAUGUUCAUGUUUGCUUUCACAUGCCAUUCUAGGGUCUGGGAUUCAAAGAUGGUUGAGAUCUGUCUAUUCCUUACCCCUUUAGCAUUGCUAGUGGUGGUAGUGGUGGUGGGGGGGUGCUGAAGGAGUCAUAAAAUAGGAUUUUGGAAAAAUUUUGGAAAAAUAACUGUGGCAGCAGCACAGAGAUUGAAACUAUGCAAAGGCAAGCCAAAAACCCAACCCUAUUGCUGUGAGACUUUAAACUUCUUCAUCCGUCAUGAGAAAUGAUCUGAAACUGUUAAAGAAAAGGUAGUGAGGCUCAAAUAAAGCUCUAUCAGUGUCUCAGGGUCCUUUUUCAUGCUGUUUUGGUCUUGAUGCCUCAUUUUCUUUUCCCUUUUGGUUUUGUUACGAGUUGUUGCUCUUCAGAAAGGUAGUUUUGUCCCCCUAGAGAUAAACUGAACUGGCUCAGAGUAAUCUUCCUGUCUCUGUUUCUCUGGCUUCUGCUCUAAUUAUCCCAUCAGCUUGUGGGUUAAGUUAAUCUAUUAUGAACCAGGCUGCAAAAUGAACUUUCCCCCAGGAUCUCAGAGCUAGCACUUUAUCAUGAAUGUGGGGCCUUGGGAGCUUGCCCUGUAGACCAGGGACCUAUUUGUGGGCCUCUAAUUGAGUGAAAAAUAUGACCAAGUUCACUUUCUUUGGUUUAAAUUCAAGCACUGAACAUUCUGAGGAACUUUAGAAGAGGGCUGUCUGCUCCAUCACUGCUGAAAACAGCCAGGAGUAGAAGCACUGGAAUAGGCAGCUAGACCAAGCAGACUCAGCAUUUGUAAGCAGGACAGAGAACUUUCCAAAUCCAGAGAUUUUCCUUUCUUAUCACUUUAUCACGAAUAUUAGCCUUUUCCAAGAAGAAACUAAGUUUUUAGCCAUCUAUUGGGGUUGCUGUGAUCCUCUGUGAGAACCGGGCUGUGUUCAAGGGUGAGUGUUACAUGGAAGGCUUGGCUCUCCCACUAGCUUGUUAUUUACUCCUUCACCAAAGCCUUGCUGUAGAUGAUUCAAAUUCCUGUCAGCAUAAUGAUGAAUGACUAUAUCGUGGCCUUCCAAGGGUGACACUGGAAACGUUAAAUCUGUGAACGUCAGGGGACUACUAUGGACCCCUCCCAUCCAAGGGCUACCCUAUCUCCAGGCCCCUCCAUGGUUCAGACUUACUGCGUGGUCAAAGCCCACUGAAUUAAUGACCAUGAAGUUCUCCAGGUUGUACUUGUAGGGGGUGUAGUUCCCGUGCCAGGCCACAACGUUAAAUGGGGAGACAUCCUGAUCACACAAACACAAAAAAAGCAGGAAAGGGUGAUCUUAGUACUUAAUGCUUUUGUAGCUGUGAUUCCACAGUUUGUAUUUGGCAUCACUGUCUCUCCUGAUUUGAUUUUGUUCACAUAAUCUAAUAAUACCAUCCUUUGGGAGAAGUAUAACCCUGAAUCAUGUUGUGGUUGCUUCACGUGCCUACAGACUGUCCCUUGCUAAGCCACUAACCCUAUUUUUCCAGUUCAUAAGCUGCAGCUGCCUCAGAUCACAUGUGCAGCAGAAGCACAAUGCAUUCUCCAAGUAGUGCCUUUUCAACAAUUUUUAACACAGUUGUGAGAAUCUGCGAAUGUCAGCAAUUCUCAGACAAUCUGGGCCACCGUCUGGGUUUCCCGGUGCACUUGCUGUCACUGCUCUCCAGGUAAUUGCUGUCUAGAGGAGCUUCUGGUACACGCAGUGCCUGGGUUGGUAAGUGCAGGAGGGUGAGAAGGGAUCUAAGAGUUCCCUUAGGACUCAAGGACUUGAGUUUCCAGAACAAUCCUAAGGUGAUGCUUCCUGGGCCUGCCCUGGGGUAGGAGAGGAUCAGUGCUCUGUUACAGGAAGGUAGUCCCCAUUGUAGUUAUGCAUCUGUUCUGGAAAUGGAACCCAAUUCAGAAUGUUCUACAGACUUUACUGAAGGGACUACUCAGACAGAUAUGAUUAGAGUUAAGUGAACUGACUAGAGAUGGUGAGGUUUCUGAGUCUAGCAACAGUGGGAAGAUAUUGCCAUUCCUAGGCCUGAGGGAUAUGGGAAGAAAAUGCUGUUAUCGGAUUCAAGCAAGAGCUAGAACCAUGAAGAAGGGGCUGUUCAGUGGUGUGGUGGUAUAUAUUUAACAACUGCCUCUCUGGAAAAAAUUAAAAAGCUCUGUUUUAUAGAAUUUGCUAAUUUCUGGGGUAUAAAUACUCUCACCAUGAUCAUUUUUUCAUCUACUAACGUGAUGUUGCUGAACAAACACAAAGCUGGGAAGAAUGUGUAUAUUAGCUCUUUCAUGCCAGUAUGAACUGGUUUCAGCACACCACCGAGGCUACCCAACAGGAGCUGAGAUCAUGGAGGGAUGAAGUCCCAACUAGGGAAGAAGCAGGGGAAGAAAAACCCCAACUUGUCUUUCCUCCUGCCCUCCAAUUUCCUGUGAGUACCUCUCACAGGUUGAACCUAACCAAAAGCCUAGGGAGCCCAUAUAGGUCAAGCUCUCAGGUGACAGAUCGUGGCAGAGAAGGGAUAAUGGAUCAAUGUAGGAGGUCACACAAGGAAUAACCAGCACAGAGUUCACUUGGGAAGUGGAAACCCAUGGAGCUGCUGGCUGCCUCUAGAAUGAUGGCUCUCUCUCAACUGUAUGUCAAAAAUAAUAUGGGGAGCAUGCUUAAAAUGACUGAAGGUUUCCACACUCCGUUCCCAGAAGUUAUCAUUUUUGCUAGGCUGGAGUAACAUCAAAGAACCUGCAUUUUAAACAAGCCUCCCUCAGAAUUUCUGAUGCAAAUGAUCUCUGAACCACAUUCUGAGAAAUCCUGACCCAGACAAUAUGAAGGUGACAAUGUGUCAAUAAGCAGGCAAUUAACUCUCAGGGGUUAAUUUUAAGUGCCAAGCUAGUUGGCGUCUGCUGGUUAGCAUACCCUCUAGAUGCUGUCCAAGAAAAAUAAUAUGCCUUGAAAAAUAUAAGCAAUAUGUCAAAUGGGCAAAAAUAGUGCUAAUAGAUAAUGGUAAACAGAAGAAAUCUUUGGAUUGCUUUGUUUAUAUGAUUACUUUCUGCUAAUAUAUAUUCCAUAUAUUAAGUAAUAAUAUAAUAUAUCUGAUAUAUUAUAGGUUACAUAUUGUUAUUAUUUGUUAAUAUAUCCCUAAUAAGGGAUAAGCCUUUGCUUGUCUUUGAGUUUACAAGGCUGUUGGUAUAAACUAAGUCAAGCUAAUGAACUGAGUUCUACUUGUUUUGUAUCAGUCAUGGCUUGUAUUUGAAAUAUGGUGGCCAUUGAUAAUAUAAAUAUUGGGUGACCUGCUUGUUUACUCAUUUCCCUUUUCAGAACAAACUAUCCUGCCUGUAUAUUAUAUUUUAUACACCAUUUAUAGAGAUCUACUAUAUUGCCAGGAUUUUUAUUGCUUGGUGAGUAGAAAGAGCAUGACCUUUGGAGUCAAAGAGAUAUAGGUACUAAUGCUUGUUCUGCCAUUUACUAUGGCAUUUGGCAAAUUAUUUGUAAUUCCCUUUUCAUGACUAUAAAUGAGACAAAUAGUACCUUAUUUGUAAUUAUUUAGUGGUAUGGUAAAGAUUAAAGAAUAUAAUAUAUGUCAAGUACUUAUAAAGAUUAAAGAAUAUAUGUCGAGUACUUAACACUGGCCUUAGCAAUCAGUAGGUGCUUAAUAUUCCCUUCCUGUCUUCCAGUCAUCCUCUUACUUUACCUGUUUGGCAGCAAAUAGCUUGCCCUGGUAUUUAUUAAUCACAGUGUAGCCACCUGGCACUUGGCGAUCUUCAUACCAGGCAACGGGUAUCAAAAAAUCACGAGGAUUGGCCAGGCCAUUAGCUCCUAGAACACAGCAACCCAAAAGUCUUUUAGACACUUGUGAAAUCAUAUAGGAAAGAUGCCUACAGUUGCACAAAGAGAAAGGGCUCUCUUCCAUGUCAAAAGCCAUUCCAUAAUUUGUUUUCAUUGUCCAAAUGCUCAUUGGAAUCCUUUUUACCUUUUACCUCCUAAAAGGAAGGUAAAGGAUUAGGAAAAAGAUUAGGAAACAUGAUUAGUAAAAAGAAUCAUGAAAAUCAUCAUCAUCAUCAUCAUCAUCAUCACCAGCAUCACCUCCUAAAGUUGUAGAGUAAGUAUGGCUUAUCAACCAUGUUACAGGCAUUACUGCAUCACUGCAGGUGAGGGGAGAGGAUGAGGCUAGAAAAGAGGCAAAGGGAAGGUCUGGUAGAAUACUAGAACUUCUCUGUUAAGAAAACCAUGAUGAUUCUAGAACUCAUCUACAGUCCUUGAUCUCAAAAAGGAAGGGUUACAUACUGUUGCCCCAGGCAUGCCUCUGCUCCUCAGACAGAACUCAGAAUCAAUCUGCAGAAUUGCUCUCCAGCCUGACAAAUCUGUCUGCCACUCAGGACAAAAGUAUUCAGGACUUGCCUGCUUACCUUUGCUUAGGAGCGAGUAUUCCCUCCAGAGAAGGAAAAUAAAUCAAAAGACCAAAAAUAAAAAGUAUAAGUGCAAAAACAUAAUUUAACUCUGAGAGGAGAGACCUGGGGAGUGUUUUAUCAUUUCCAGCUCCUGGGGUUAAAAAAUAUAAGCCCCCAGCUGGUUAGUAAAUUAUAUAUAUUUUCCAGAGGGUACGUGUUCCAUGGAACCUGGAGGCUAUGCUGGCUGUAGAGCAGCAGGAAGCCAGACUGAAGUGGGAAGAGCGGGUGGUGAGCAGGAUGACAGACGGCCCACCGUGGCUCCAGCUGCCUCUCUGCUGCCUCCCACCUUCCUCUGACUAUUUGGAUCUCCCCAGGGGAGUGACCAGAAGGCACAUGCUGGCCUGGCCUGUUUUGCUCUAAAAAAGCUGUUGACAAGGAAAGGAAGAACUGGGAGGUGUGGCCACCACCUUCAGCAAACAUGCCAAAGAUGAAACCAAGGGCCCAUUUUCCAAGCCACUCCUUUCACUCCAAGAGAUGUUUUGAGAACAACUCCUACCACCUUCACUUCUCUCCUGCAUCUUCUGCCUCCAGUUUGCCAGAAGAAUCGGGGGUGGGGACCUUGAUUCACUUUUGAAAGUUUUAAUCUGCCUCAUAGAGGCUGUGGUUUCUAGCUCCUUCAUAACUCUGAGUUAACUGUGUAGAUUUUGUGGAAUGUGAUGAGUAGGAAUGUGAAGUUUAUAGACUAUCCGCACUUCAGCCUGUGUCCACUUUCCAUAGGAGUAUAGCCCUUGUUAUAGCUUUUCUCUACUUUAUCGUCUACACACACCCUCUUGACUUAAGAAGAUGAUCUCCCUCCUAUUCACAAAGCUCAUUCCCACAUGUAUGUUUUUGCUUAAGCUGUUCCCUUUCCUUUUAUUUUUCCUCAACUCUUCGUCAAGGAUUAAUCAAAUCUCAUGUCUUCUGUAAAGCUGUUCCUGGUGACUUGGCCCCCCAGUAACCCAAACUUCUACAUCCUUCAGGAUAUACACUGUAUAACCAGAAAUCUAUUUUACAUUGUCUGCUCUUCAACGGUCUAUAUACUACUCUAGAGAGAGAGAUUUAGAACAUGUUGGCUUUGGUUGUUCACUUUUAUGUAUGUAUUUUAUGGGAAAAGGCUUGUGUUACCCUUGAUGAGAUUCCUGUCAGUACCCUCAGCACAACACAAGAGCCAAGACUAGCUGAUGGAUUGAUAUACCGAUGAACUAAUUAAUGAUUUUAUUUCAUCAGUUGGGUCGGCCAUGACACCGAAUCCCUGAACUUAGAGGUCUGAAAAAAAUAUUUGGGGUUGCUUAGGGAGUUCUAAUAGGUUUCUGAACUUCUCAACUACACUUGGUCUAGAGAAGUUGUCUGGAGAGGAAAGUUGAAAUUUGAGUGAGAUAAUGAGGGGAGAAGGGUGUGUCACUCUCAUGAGAUUAUCUGUCCUAUCUCUCAAGGGAGCCUAAAAGCUUGUAGUGAAGAUUUACCAAUUGGUCCCAGGUCAGGCAACUCAAAGUGGACGCCGUAGACCUCCAGGAUGUAGCCCCUGGUCUCCUCGAAGACAUCUAUGCUGAACCGCAUUCCUCUCUGGAAUGGGAAGCAGACACUGGUUUUAUGCUAGGUGCUGGAGAUAAACAUGACAGUCUCUGCCCUUAGGGAAUCUAUUACAGAAGACCCUGGAAGUGUGGGCACUUUCUGAUAGGAAAAUAAGGAAAUAGUUAUCUGUGUAUGUCAAGGUCUGAGCCAAAGAUCUCCCUGCCAGGACCCAGAUCUCAGGCUUCAGGAAGAGAAGAUGCAGGAAUCCUGAAGAGCACCAGGAGAAGAACCGUCCAGAAGUUGCGAGGGACACUGGAACUUGCUAAGUGGGACCCAAGUCCUUUCAGAGACCAUUACUCUGGCAGUGUACAGAACAAAAAGGAACACUACUUCUGACAAUGGGAGACUAGACCUGCUUAAACAGCCUCUGGCCCCUUAAACCCUAGGACAGUCUACUUCAAGGGGUGGAGUUUGCCUGGCCCUACACUGAACCAUUUGGGAGAUAAAAGGGCUAGAUUGUCCAGGUUCCCAUUUGAUUCCUCCAGUUCUAAAUGAUGUGACCUCUGACCUUGGACUUUAUGCUUAUGAAUAAACCAAGCCUCUGUAGUUUCUAGUAGUUAAGGGCAUGCAUACAUAUCUAAGAAACAACUGUGUGACCCUGGGCAAGUUAUGUUUCUCAUCCUUAUCUCCUAGGAUUAUUGUGAGGAUUCAGAGUUUAUGUAUUUAGAGUGCCUGGAACAUAGUAAGUUCUCACUUACUAGAUAUGUGUUGAAUUGUCUGCCUACCCCUAAUCAUCUGGGUUUUUAAGAUGGUCCAAAUUUUCCACAUUCUCUGUCCUGACUCUCCCCUCCUCAGUACCUGAGGGAUCAGCUAACAAUCUGAUAAAAAGUAACCCUUGAUAGGUAUAACCUCUGAGAGUUCUGUGAGGCCCUCUACUCUGAUUUAAAUGAGAAGUGACUCACUGUAAGAAUUCCAGGCUUACCUGGUUCUAUCUUUCCACUGGGGAUUUUGAGCAUUUUCACAAAAAUUAUUGUGGAUACCUUUGGAGAGUUCUAAACAGAUGGGUGAGCCAUGCCUAGUGUCCCUUGUUUUUUAGCUGUUUAUAAAACUCCCCAGGCAGCACUACAUUACCCUGGACAGAGAUUUAAUUCUGAUUCAAGGAAUGGUGCCAGCUUCUUAAUGAAAUGCCAACAGCUCCUUUUCAGCCUCCUGGAACAGAGCUAAGCUCCUGCUGGCUGAAGAUAUCACUGAAUAAUGGGGGUAGGCAGCAGAAUCUGGAGUCCAGGUGUCCCAUUAUUGAAUGGCCAUAAAGUCAAGAACAUAGUCAUGGAGGCUAGGUUGUCAUAAAUUAAAAUGAACAGGAAUUGUCAGUGUUCCUUCCUUACCUUGACUGGAAUUGCAAAGAGAGAGAGAGAGAGAGAGAGGUGAUUAAACGAUAAUAGAAUUAACCCCUGAGUUUUGACAAGUAUGGGAAAUGAUCUCUUCUUCCCUCCAUGCACAUAUCUGUCAAGACAGAAGCAGUAUUGUUAUGGAUAGACGUAGUAGCAUAGCACUUGCCAUAGCUCACACUCAGUUCUCUGACAGCCUCCUAGGGGUACCCUGUAUUGGAGGGAGAAAUACUACUAUGCUGACAGUAAUGGUGAUUGGAAUAAUUAAUGUUAAUUGAGCACUCACCAUGUGCCAGGCAAUGUGCUAAGUACUUUAUAUGCACUCUUUCCUUUAAUCCUAACCACAACUAUGAAAUAGGUACUAUCGUCAUCUCUUUGACAAAUGAGGAACCAUAGGCUCUGAGGGAGUAGAUGACUUGCUCAAGGUCACACAGCUUAAAGGAGAAGGAGGCAUGAUUUAAACUCAGGGGACCUGACUUCAGAGUGGGCAUAAUUAACCACUAAAGACAACAACCUAUCGUUUGUGUGGUCCAUUGUGCUGUCGUAGUCACUACCUCAUUUGCUCCCUAGGAGGAGACUGUGGAGGUAAAGCCAGUCCCAUCCACUAAGCAGUACCAGACCAACUGCCCUCCUCCCCAAGUCUCCAAAAUUAGGAGCACUCCUCUCCACAGAUGCCCUAGCCUGACAUUCCUAUAGUUCGACACUACUUGUUUAAGUACGACACUUACUGCCUCCCCAAACCACAACAUCUAUUGUGUUCAACCUGCCCCAUGGGAGUAAAUCAAGGGAGUGAGUUCAUUGACCUGGCUUGUGGGAUUAGAGGAAGCAUGCAACAUGACACAUUUUGCUAAUGAAUGUGCUGGUUUCCAUCAAAGGCAAAUUCCAAAGAGUAAAAACCUUAUUAAUUCAAACCACAAGAGGCCAUAAUAGAUGACCUUUCAACUGCCCAAGGUUAGUUAUCCAAUAUUUUCAUGCAAAGAAAUAAUAUUUCUAGUCAGCUGAAGAAGAUAUUACACUGAAUCUGUAAUUUUGAGUUACUCAUUAUUUAAAAACAAACAAACAAACAAACAAACAAAUCAAAAUUGAAAAUUCAACUGGACAACCCUUUGGGGAAGGCCAAUUUACUGGGGACAUUUUCUUUUCUUUUAAAAAAUUUUUUUUUAUUUUACUUAUUUUUGAGAGAGAGAGAGUGUGCACGCAUGAGUGGGGGAGGGGCACAAAAAGAAGGAGACACAGAAUCUGAAGCAGGCUCCAGGCUCUGAACUGUCAGCACAGAGCCUGAUGCGGGGUUUGAACCCGUGAAACGCGAGAUCAUGACCUGAGCCAAAGUCGUAUGCUCAACUAACUUAGCCACCCAUGCACCUACUGGGGACAUUUUCCUUUGGAGACAAGUGAUAAUUUGUAAAUGGAGCUGGACAUGUGUGUUUUCCAAGACUCUGUGCAGCUGCUUCCUUACUUUUUUCCACCAGUGACUUGAUCCUAGCUGGAGACAAGCCCUCCCCUCACAAUUACCCAGAGUACAGCCUGUGAAAAGCAGAAUCUUCGGCAGCCCUGGGAAGCGAUGGCCCAGAUGUAGGAGCCAGCACUAAGUACUAGUCAUAAAUCCCACAGCCUUCAGGUCAGAAUUAAUCUAAUCCUGUACCUUCUCUUAUUUGUGCUCCGUGGACAAGUGAAAGCCGAUCCUGAGAGCUGCUCAGCAUACAGGUUAUAAGGGCAGACUUGAGGAUUGUUCUAAAACAAAGGAGGCAAUAAACAACAUCACUCCAAUCAGAAAAACAUCUCACCUUCCUGCAAACAAUUCAGUGGGGGAAUUCUGUCCUGGAUGAGGAUGCUCUGAUCCACUGCACAAGACCAUCUUCAACCCAUAUAUACUUUUUGUAACAACUGUUUAGGUGACUUUCCUCGUGUUUAGAAAAGCAAUACAUGUGUAAUACAGAACAUUUAUAAAAUAUAACCCAUGAUCUCACCAUCCAGAAAUAACCCAAUGUUGUCACACUGGUACAUUUCCUUCCAUUCUUAUCCUCCAAAAUAAGGAUCCAAUGAUGGAUGAUGUGUGUAGUCCUAUAAUGAUCACGAAAUUUUUUUUGGUGGAAGAAACACUAUAUCAUGAGCAAUUUUUUCAUGCCAUAAAAUAUUCUUUAAAAUUUUUGAAAAUAUUUUGUAUGCCAUACUUUUGUUAUUGUAACCAACACUAGUGUAAACAUCUUUGUGGAUCCAUUUUUAGGACUGAUUAUUUUCUCAUCAUUGUCAUAACUCAUGCCAUUUAAGAGAACUAUAAGGAAGUCCUCUUAACCUUGAGCCUAGGGGAUCCUCCUGAAAGUCUUACAGUUAGUCUUGCUAUUUCAGAUUGCGUGCUUUGCCAUAGGUAACCACCAUCCCACUUUAAUCUUUGUAUUGGCAUUGUUGUAUAUCCCAAGUAUCUUAAUGAGUUGUGAAACUCCUAGACAGUUCCCAGGAACAAUGGUGAGUAGAUGCACUUUGGCCUGAGGGCUGGUUAUUCAUUCCUACAAAUCAGAGCUCUCUAAGCUGAUAUUCUAUUCAUCCAUACCUGUCCUUCUGGCAGAGCACCUGGGCAGCGAGGGUCCUCUGAGGCACAUUCAUUCCCGAAUCCAGAAAUGUACUGCAUAUGACAAAGAUACGAAGGCUGUCAUUAAAGUAUUUAAAGAGUGUUUCACAACAUUGAUAGUCUAAUGAAGGUAAGAAUUUCUAUAAGGACAUGUGUUUGUGUAUGAUGUUCCAUAUGUAAUAUGUUUGCUAUGUCUUGGCAUGUGGACCAUCUAGGAAAGAAAAUAUGCUCUGUGUGAAUUUUAAAGACCACCAAUUAGGGGCUUCUGGGUGGCUCAGUGGGCUAAGCGUCCGACUUUGGCUCAGGUCAUGAUCUCAAGGUCUGUGAGUUUGAGCUCCGCGUCAGGCUCUGUGCUGACAGCUCAGAGCCUGGAGCCUAUUUCAGAUUCUGUGUGUCCCUCUCUCUCUGCCCCUCCCCCCACUCAUGCUCUGUCUCUCUGUCUCUCUGUCAAAAAUAAAAUAAACAUUAAAAAAUUUUUU